rnacentral:rRNA from 1 species
GAUGAACGCUAGCGAUAGGCCUAACACAUGCAAGUCGAGGGGCAUCACAUGAAGUAGCAAUACGGAUGGUGGCGACCGGCGCACGGGUGAGUAACACGUAUGCAACCUGCCUUCAACAAGGGGAUAACCCGUUGAAAGACGGACUAAUACCCUAUAACACAGGGGUCCCGCAUGGGAAUAUUUGUUAAAGGACAACCGGUUGAAGAUGGGCAUGCGUUCCAUUAGCUAGUUGGCGGGGUAACGGCCCACCAAGGCAACGAUGGAUAGGGGAACUGAGAGGUUUAUCCCCCACACUGAUACUGAGACACGGACCAGACUCCUACGGGAGGCAGCAGUGAGGAAUAUUGGUCAAUGGACGCAAGUCUGAACCAGCCACGUCGCGUGAAGGAAGACGGCCCUACGGGUUGUAAACUUCUUUUAUACGGGAAUAAAGUGCCCCACGCGUGGGGUUUUGCAUGUACCGUAUGAAUAAGGAUCGGCUAACUCCGUGCCAGCAGCCGCGGUAAAUCACACUA